AGUGAACGCUGGCGGUAGGCCUAACACAUGCAAGUCGAACGGCAGCACAGUAAGAGCUUGCUCUUACGGGUGGCGAGUGGCGGACGGGUGAGGAAUACAUCGGCAUCUACUUUUUCGUGGGGGAUAACGUAGGGAAACUUACGCUAAUACCGCAUACGACCUACGGGUGAAAGCAGGGGAUCUUCGGACCUUGCGCGAUUGAAUGAGACGAUGUCGGAUUAGCUAGUUGGCGGGGUAAAGGCCCACCAAGGCGACGAUCCGUAGCCGGUCUGAGAGGAUGAUCAGCCACACUGGAACUGAGACACGGUCCAGACUCCUACGGGAGGCAGCAGUGGGGAAUAUUGGACAAUGGGCGCAAGCCUGAUCCAGCCAUACCGCGUGGGUGAAGAAGGCCUUCGGGUUGUAAAGCCCUUUUGUUGGGAAAGAAAAGCAGCAGGUUAAUACCCCGCUGUUCUGACGGUACCCAAAGAAUAAGCACCGGCUAACUUCGUG
rnacentral:rRNA from 1 species